GCGGACGGGUGAGUAAUAUAUAGGUAAUGUGCCCUAGAGAAGAGGAUAACAGUUGGAAACGACUGCUAAUACUCUAUAUGCCUUUAAGACAAAAGUCUGCAAGGGAAAUAUUUAUAGCUCUAGGAUCGGCCUGUACGGUAUCAGCUAGUUGGUGAGGUAAUGGCUCACCAAGGCAAUGACGCCUAGCUGGUUUGAGAGGAUGAUCAGUCACACUGGGACUGAGACACGGUCCAGACUCCUACGGGAGGCAGCAGUGGGGAAUAUUGCACAAUGGGGGAAACCCUGAUGCAGCAACGCCGCGUGGAGGAUGACACAUUUCGGUGCGUAAACUCCUUUUAUAUAGGAAGAUAAUGACGGUACUAUAUGAAUAAGCGCCGGCUAACUCCGUGCCAGCAGCCGCGGUAAUACGGAGGGCGCAAGCGUUACUCGGAAUCACUGGGCGUAAAGAGCGUGUAGGCGGGUUAAUAAGUUUGAAGUGAAAUCCUAUGGCUCAACCAUAGAACUGCUUUGAAAACUGUUAACCUAGAAUAUGGGAGAGGUAGAUGGAAUUUCUGGUGUAGGGGUAAAAUCCGUAGAGAUCAGAAGGAAUACCGAUUGCGAAGGCGAUCUACUGGAACAUUAUUGACGCUGAGACGCGAAAGCGUGGGGAGCAAACAGGAUUAGAUACCCUGGUAGUCCACGCCCUAAACGAUGUUCACUAGUUGUUGUGAGGCUAGACCUUGCAGUAAUGCAGUAAACACAUUAAGUG
rnacentral:rRNA from 1 species